rnacentral:tRNA from 1 species
AUUAAAAUAGCAAAGUGGAAAUGCAAAAGAUUUAGGAUCUUUUAUCAGAGGUUCAAUUCCUUUUUUUAAUU